AUCUAGUACAGUGGUACCUUGGUUGUCGAAAGCCUUGGCUUCUGAACAAAUCAGCUCCUGAACACUGCAAAAGAAGUAAGUGUUCUGGUUUGUGAACGUUUUUCAGAAGCCAAACGUCCGACGCGGCUUCCGUUUGAGUGCAGGAAGCUCCUGCAGCCAAUCGGAAGCUGUGCCUUGGCUUUUGAACAGUUCUGGGAGUUGAACAGACUCCUGGAAUGGAUUAAGAUCAACAACCAAGGUGCCACUGGAGUGCUCUUUUUACAUUCUUAUUCUUACCAGCACCACCAUAUGGGAAGGACUGCAACUCAACAGCAGAGCUUCUCUCGCGGAUGCAGAAGGUCCCUGGUUCAGUUCCCAGCACCUCCAGGAAUGAAAACCUGGAGAGCCACUGCUGGCCAAUGUAGAGAGUACAGAGCUAGAUGAAUCAGUGAUCAGACUUGGUAUAAGCCAACUUCCUUUAAGCUUAGCAUCAGAGUAAAAGCUAAAAAGUAAAAGCAGUUUCACUAAUAACCUGUUUUUUAGGAUGGUGAGGGGGUUUUUUGGUAAUGCAUUGCAGGAAGUCUUCACUAUUCACAUCUCUAUUAUUAUUAUCUUAAGACUGCCAGUUGUCAGCAUGAAAAGGGGAAACGAUGAGUUGGAAGACUCUGACCCAAAUGUUCCCAUUCUGAAUCUUCAUUAGCGACAAGAGCCUCAGUGCCAGCCAGCCCCUGCGGGAACACCCAUCACUUUGAUUGAACCAUAUUUUUUCUCAAGUCUCGCUUAUAUUUAGAGCUAGAUCUGAGUUGUCAAGAUUCUUGAGCAGCUCUUCAAGAAGUUUCUCUUUUCCAGCAGGGGCAUCUCGUAAAAAGUAGCUUCUUCCUACUUGCUUAAAAGAAAAGAAAAAGAUGAUGAACAUUAUAGCCGAGUAAGAAACUGCAGGAGGGGGUAUCCAUUGGGAUUUCAAGCCUUGGAAGAAAAUUGGUAAGCUCUUUCUCUGCUGGCCUCUGCCAAAGUGUCCUUUUAUGGUGGCUGGAAGUCUUAAGAGAAAUUGACAUUGCUGAAUGCUUCAUAUAUCACUUGCAUUACACAGGGAAAUGCCUUUUAAAAGGGCUGGGGGAAAAUGAGAGCUGGCGGACAAGAAGAAGAACUAAAUAAAUCAAGAAAGGGUUUUAAAAGGUUUUUGCAAGGAGGUAAAACGGAGAGAUGCUUUUCAUAAAUCAGGACUGCACAUACUUGUUUUGAGAGGGCAGGAGCAACACAGCAAGCCUGGCAAUUGUUUCUUAACAGGCAUUCCCAUGAGGAGGUGUUUCUGUGGUAAUGUGGAAGACUUGGCGUCUGUGGACUAUGGAACAAUUUUGCUAUCGUAAAAGAAGGGUCAACUACUGAGCAGCGCUGGGACAGAUCUGGCCUGAGUGUGGUUCCAUCUGCACACACUCAUUGCCACUCCCAGAGGCAUCGUUCACUGACUGUAUUUAAAGUCUAAUUUUCAGCAACCAUGCGUCUUGGAGCAGCUUGCAGCAGGAGAAAAACCAAAUGCACAAUGCUAUACGGUGGAGGCUUCCCCAAUGGGAAAAGUGGGUUGUCCAGGUGCUGGAAGAUUCAGGACAGACACAAAAAAAAAGGACUUAUUUACACAGUGCAUAGCAAAACUAUGGGAUUCACUCCCAACAAAGAUGUAGAGAUAGCCACCAACUUGAUUGGCUUCAAAAAAGAAUUGGACAAACGCAUGAAGAUAAGGCCACAGGGGUUAUUAGAAGUGAUGGUUAUCACUGUCCUACGGGACCGUCUCUCCUAGUAUGCCCCUCGGAGGACCUGAAGGUCCAUAAAUAACAACACUUUGGAAGUUCCAAGCCCCAAGGAGGUUAGAUUGGCCUCAACUAGGUCCAGGGCCUUUUCAGCUCUGGCCCUGGCCUGGUGGAAUGCUCUGUCACAAGAGGCUAGGGCCCUGCGGAAUUUGACAUCUUUCCACAGGACCUGCAAGAUGGAGCUGUUCCGCCCAGCCUUUCGGCUGGACUCAGUCUAACCCCUCCUCUCAUUUAUUUAUUUUUUCAUUGAACCCCUUAUAUGGGAUUUGGUAUAUAAAUUUUCCCUCGGCUCUUUUUGCUGGCCCAUGUAGGACCAGCAUGGAUAGUUGGCCCUGGUGAAUAUUUGACGUUUUCUCCCCUUAUGGCUUUGAUCUAUGGGUUACCACUAAAACAAGGCUGCAUUUUAAGCUGCAUUUUAAACUGUAUUCUAACUUGUAUUUUACUCAACUGUUGUUUUGUUUGGUUUGGUUUGGUUUUUAAUGUUUUCAAUGUUUUUAAUGUUUUUACUGUAUUUAUAUUCGGUGUUGGCUGCCCUGAGCCCGGUCUUGGCCACGGAGGGCAGGGUAUAAAUAAAAAAUUAUUAUUAUUAUUAUGCCUUACCUCUACUGUCAGAGGCAGUAGGCCACUGAAUGCCAAUUGCUGGGAAUCACAAAUGAGAGGAAUGCUGUAGCUCCCACGUCCUGCUUGUGGGUUUCCCAUUAGCAUCUUGUUGGCCACUUUUGAGAACAGGAGGGUGGGAAAGAUGAGGCAUUUGCUUGACGCAGAAGUGAGUUUCUUAUGUUCUUAAAUCAAGACUGAAUCACCAAUCAAGUCACCCAAUCAAGAAGACAUAUGAAGGUUUAGGAAAGUUUUAAAUGUCUAAUGUUUUAUCGCUAUUAUUAUUAUUAUUAUUAUUAUUUUGGGAGCCACCCAGAGUGGCUAGGGAAAGCCAGCCAGAUGGCAGGGUAAAAAUAAUAAAUUAGUAGUAGUAGUAGUAGUAGUAGUAGUAGUCUGCAGCAACAUGCCAGAGCUCAGAAAGACCUUAUUGCUCAAGCAAUACUGAGCUGGAAAAAGAAACCCUUAAUACGCCUUCCUACCCAGAAAUAUCCAUAAGGUACCCUGGAUCUCUCAGCAGUACAGCAUUCUGUACAAAACUGGGACAUAAAAGCAAACAGAAUAAUGGAGGAUUCUUAAUGCAUUAGUUCCAUUUUGUGGGGAAAUGUCUGGGUAACUGAGAAUGCCGCAAUCUGGAGGAGAAUUUCAAAUGCAUCCCUAUUUCUCAUUAAUGUAUAGCCCCCUACCCCCAGUACAAAUUAAAUGAUAAAUGCUCUGUAUCAUAAUUUCACACAGAUUUUCUACCAGUGAUGGAACAGAAAGUGUCUCUCCUUGCCUCGGUGAUUCAUAAAAAACCAAGAUUGAAAAGCAAAGGUGAGAUGGUUUCAUCUAUGACUGAUCAAUGCAGCAGUGGUCCUUGCCGUAAUCGCGAAGAUCUAUCCCAUGGCAUUAUUGUCAAAUCCUUGCGGCUCCAAUAGGCACAUGCUGCCACGAUACAAAAUCACUGACUCACAUCAGAGCGAUGGAAAACAUAUCUCGAGUGUUGUGCUUCAAGGAGAAGUCAGCCGCAUUCAAACAAAACAACGCGAGCCAGCUUCAAAACAAACGACAACUUAGCAAGUUCACCAGCCCUAAAAAUGCAC
rnacentral:lncRNA from 1 species